UCGUGCUAGGUGGGGAGGUAGCGGUGCCCUGUACUCGCAAUCCGCUAUAGCGAGGCUGAAUCCCUAUCCGAGGUGAAACAACUUUAUGGUCUGCCUUAAGUAAGUGGUGUUGACACCUGGGUCCUGCGCAAUGGGAACCCGUGAACCCUGUCAGGUCCGGAAGGAAGCAGCAGUAAGCGGUCAUUCUUGUGUGCCGCGGGGUCGCCUGGGUCGAGCCAUGAGCUUAAGUAACGCUUGAGGUUGUUUCAUCGACGAUAGGUGCACGG
rnacentral:SRP_RNA from 1 species